UCUCCGUAGGUGAACCUGCGGAAGGAUCAUUACCGUACAAAAUGUGAGGAACAUCCUAUGAAUGUACCUGACGCAGGUGCCGCGCACCCCCGACUGUGCCCUCUUGCAUAAUAACAGGUCCCACCCUUUGGGCAUCAACGCGUGGACACCCUUCGGGACCAUCUCGGAAAGGAGCUCGCGAUUUCAAACAAUCAACACCUGUAAAAUUGUAUCUUGAACAGAUUUAUACAGUAAAAACAACUUACAACAAACGAUUUAUUGGCUCUCGCAUCGAUGAAA
rnacentral:misc_RNA from 1 species